CGAGGGACAGAGGACCUGGGCACAUGGAUGAACUGGGAGGAGUGUGGGGGAGGAGGAUGGCAUGAUGUGAGGCUGGCAAGGCGGGCGGGACCUGGCCUGGAGUCUGGUUGGCCGUGGGGAGGCCACGGAAUGGUAGCUGUGGUUUGCUGCACAGGGCUGAAGGAUAGUUCUGGUUACUGCAAGCAGAAAGAGUUGUAUGAGGCCAAGUGAGGAAACGGGAGGCCGGUGAGAAGCCUCUGCAGCCAUCCAGGCAGGAGACAAUGUUCAGCAGGACUAGGAUGCUGCCCAUAGACUUGGAAAGAUGCAUUUGGGGAACAUGUUGGAGCUGGAACAGACAAACCUGGCUAUGGAUCAGAUAUGAGGCGUGAAGGAGGGACAGGCGACAGAAUCCACCGCUAGUUUAAGCAGAGUCAGUACAGAAUUUUCAGGAGGACCAGAGAAUGAAGCUUGGAUACUACAUCGUCAGGAAUAAGCAACCAGAAGAAACAGCAACCACACAAUGAGAUAUUUCUAACACUCAGAUUGUAUGCUGCUGGGACCAGAGAGAAGAGCGCUGGCCGUGGCUGCCACAGAACAAAGACGUCCUUCUCCAGGCUUGCCAGAAGAUCCCAUUUCCCCCUCUCAUGGCACCUUCCAUCCUGAUGGCUGCAUUUGUUGGGUAUAAUCUAGAACUCCUGCCUACUCCCACAACACAGACGGCAAUCAGUUCCAACCUGAGUUCAACAAGUGCUGGCUGUAAGGGAGUCCGGGAGGCGUGGCUUUUACCUUUCUACUGUCUGCAGAGCAGGGAAAUAGACUGUGUGAAUGCUGGAGAUGAUGUUUGAAAUAAUUUGCAUGAACCGCUGCAGACAGUGAACAAAACCACCGAAAGACAUGAUCUUCCCA
rnacentral:lncRNA from 10 species